rnacentral:tRNA from 1 species
GGAGGGGACGCGCUUCCGGUGGGGCGUCCGGACUUCAAAUCCGGGAGGGGCCGUCGGACGGUCCUUGGUGGGUUCGACUCCCAUUCUCCUCCGCCA